AAUUCACAGAUGAAAUAGAAACCCUCUGUGUUUAUGCUUCUUUCCUACCAAUCCUUUGCCACCCACCUACCUUUAAGUCUGUAACAUGGGCCAUGGGGAAUCAGAAGUCACAAAGUACAGAAAAAGGAAUUCUGUAUUUCUUUCAAAAUAGUUCUUGAAUAGUUAGCAUAAGCUCUAGCGACCAUGAACUGUUGAAAUAGACAUAUCGUUGACAGAAGAUGUUGCUAUACUUGCUGAUGAAGAGUGUUUAACUGAACUAUGAUUCUCUGAUCUGAAUAUAAGGCUAGGUUGUUUAGGGAAAGGAAGAUUUGUUUCAUUGCACAGCAUGAAGACCACUUCUGACAUAGUCGGUCUGUCAUCUGUAAACGGUUGUACACACAAAAGGCCAAUGUGGAUGCAUCUCAAAACUUCACAAGCUUCAUAUGAGCCACCUAACAAUGGAUCAACAACAUCUAAA